GCUUUCGUGGUGUAAUGGUCAGCACACUCGUCGUGUAACCUAGGGGUCCGAGGUUCGAGUUCCGGUGAAGGCG
rnacentral:tRNA from 1 species